GUCGAACGAGUUCUCGUUGAUGAUCGGUGCUUGCACCGAGAUUCAACAUGGAACGAGUGGCGGACGGGUGAGUAACACGUGGGUAACCUGCCCUUAAGUGGGGGAUAACAUUUGGAAACAGAUGCUAAUACCGCAUAGAUCCAAGAACCGCAUGGUUCUUGGCUGAAAGAUGGCGUAAGCUAUCGCUUUUGGAUGGACCCGCGGCGUAUUAGCUAGUUGGUGAGGUAAUGGCUCACCAAGGCGAUGAUACGUAGCCGAACUGAGAGGUUGAUCGGCCACAUUGGGACUGAGACACGGCCCAAACUCCUACGGGAGGCAGCAGUAGGGAAUCUUCCACAAUGGACGCAAGUCUGAUGGAGCAACGCCGCGUGAGUGAAGAAGGCUUUCGGGUCGUAAAACUCUGUUGUUGGAGAAGAAUGGUCGGCAGAGUAACUGUUGCCGGCGUGACGGUAUCCAACCAGAAAGCCACGGCUAACUACGUGCCAGCAGCCGCGGUAAUACGUAGGUGGCAAGCGUUAUCCGGAUUUAUUGGGCGUAAAGCGAGCGCAGGCGGUUUUUUAAGUCUGAUGUGAAAGCCCUCGGCUUAACCGAGGAAGCGCAUCGGAAACUGGGAAACUUGAGUGCAGAAGAGGACAGUGGAACUCCAUGUGUAGCG
rnacentral:rRNA from 2 species